rnacentral:rRNA from 1 species
UACAGAGGGUGCGAGCGUUGUCCGGAAUCACUGGGCGUAAAGGGCGCGUAGGCGGCGCGGUAAGCGUGCGGUGAAAGCCCGGGGCUCAACCCCGGGUCGGCCGUGCGGACUGCCGGGCUGGAGCACUGUAGAGGCAGGUGGAAUUCCGGGUGUAGCAGUGGAAUGCGUAGAGAUCCGGAAGAACACCGGUGGCGAAGGCGGCCUGCUGGGCAGUAGCUGACGCUGAAGCGCGACAGCGUGGGGAGCAAACAGG